AAAAAAUCCCCACCCCCACCCCCCAUCCCUAAGACACAGUUUUCCGAAGUCCCUCGUGUGUGUGUGUGUGUGUGUGUGUGUGUGGACACGUACCACCCAGGGCGGCGAGCGCAUCCCAGGACCAGCCACAGGAGCUCGGGACGUGUCUCCCUUGUCUGUCCCCGCCCGCGCCCCCCUCGCCUCUGCAGGGCCCCCCGGCUGUCACAGUUGCUGUGGUGUUGUGCGUGUGUUGGAUGCUGUGGUGUUGUGCGUGUGAGUCUCUGGGUGGAUCCUGCAUCCUUUUUGGUCCAGUGGGCAUCGUGGGUCUUGGGGGGGGCGGGCUCAGGACUUGUGCUGGGCCGACACGCCCUUCCAGUAGUCCAGGAUGUCGUGCAGAUCCUCGUCUUUGGCGAACUGAACCUUCUUGCGCAGCGCGUGGCCUGCGGCCAUGAACUCUUCUUCCUCCUUGUGCCGCCGGCGGCUCAGUCUGAAGCGCUCCCAGAUGCUCUGGGAGGCCCGGCAGGUGUACUCGGGGCUGGAGGAGUAGCUCAGGCUGUGGUACUGCGGGGACAGCUGCGAGUAGGCGAGGUCGCGGGGCCGCGGCCGGGUGAGCGGCUCCAGGAUGGACGCCUGCGCCCCAGACCCUCGUGCGCAGGCGGCGGCGGUGGCCCGGGGGGCGCAGGUGGCUCGGCCGGGUGGGAGCCGGGUACGAGUGCCGGUGCUCGCCGUACUGGCGACCCUUCGGCCUCGGCCCGCAGCACAGCGGCCGCGGGCGUCACAGUGAGGAUGGCGUCGGCCGCGGGGAGCCCUUCUCGAUGUACUUGGCCUCGGCGGCCGCGGCCUUAUGCACCCCAACAGCCUCAGCUCGGAAGGCGCUGGGGGCUGCGCGCUGAGCUGCCGGACGAGGCGCUGGCACGAGGGGGCCCGGCCCCUCCACGCUGUGGUGCCGCUGCAGGCUGUGGCCGGCGUCCUUGUACCCGGGCGCCAGGAAGCCAUGCUUGGCGGCCAGCGGCUCGGACAGCAGCACCAGCGGCGGCUCGGCGGCGGACACGGGCCCCGACUUGA
rnacentral:lncRNA from 1 species